UAUAACAAUGAUGUCCUUUACAUAUGUUAGACUCAUGAAAAAUAUUUGAUUGAAAAAUUAGUUGCUGAGUUACA
rfam:Drosophila busckii chromosome 3L sequence.